rnacentral:rRNA from 1 species
UACGGGGGGAGCAAGCGUUGUUCGGAUUUACUGGGCGUAAAGGGCGCGUAGGCGGCGUGACAAGUCACUUGUGAAAUCUCCGGGCUUAACUCGGAACGGUCAAGUGAUACUGUCGUGCUAGAGUACAGAAGGGGCAACUGGAAUUCCCAGUGUAGCGGUGAAAUGCGUAGAUAUUGGGAAGAACACCAGUGGCGAAGGCGGCUCACUGGUCCGGUACUGACGCUGAGGUGCGAAAGCGUGGGGAGCAAACAGG